rnacentral:lncRNA from 1 species
UUUUUGUUUUGAAAUUUGAUUUUAACUAUUGUUUUUUUUUUUUCUGGUUGUGUCUGUAUUUUUUCCACCCCCACAGGCGCCGAGCUGCGCUGUUUUCUUUCUUUCUUUUUGAUUUUUUUCUUUUUCUUUUUCUUUUCUCGAAACUCUGAAGCCAGACUGUCUUCUUCACCGCUCCCGGGCUGCACCACUGUGGGCACAUCAAGCUUCGUCUGGCUCACCUGCAUGGUUCCGGCUGAUUCCUGCCUGAGAUGGCCCAUCGUACAACUAGGAUCCCAGAAUCUCCUGUCUGCACUCUGCGGAAGAAGGACCUAUUUCAGUCUCUGGCCAGGGUCUCUCACAGCCGAUGGGGUCUUGGAAGACAGGGUGAAGUUGCAGAAGACUGGGGUGGGAUGCGAAGGCAUGCGAAGGACUUGGAAAGGGAAUUUAGGAAUACUAUACAUCAGUGCCCACCGAUGAUAUGCAUACAGGGCGAGGGCAGCCACCGCCCCUGCCUCACGCACCUAACCCCGGCUGCUCGCUGGGAUUGUCUGAGGGGGACAACCCAGGUCUGGAUGUGGUGGCAUUUUUUCAGAGAGUGGAACUGAAGAUGGAUGAAGCAGAAAGUCCUAGGAGUUCACAAGUAAACAAGGAGCUGAGGAGCAUA